AGGGUUUUCAGAAGGCAAAAGUGGGCAUUUGGUCAUCAGAUUCAUGAAUGUCUCCACAAAUAAAAUCAUGAUGCCCUGGUUCUGGCUGCAGAACAUGUGACUCUUUCCAUGGCUCAAAGGCCAGAGAGGAUAUGGGGCAUUCCCUCUACAGAAGGGAUGAAGGAAGGCACUAUCUAAUCAAUCCUAGCUCAACUUGGAGCAGAACUUGGAUCCCCUCUAUGGCAGAGCAUGGCGACUAGAUCACUUUCCCAAUUUUACUGAUUCCUUCUAUGUAAAGAACCUGCUCCGGAUCCUCUGGGGCAUCCUGCAUGGUGACUGCUGCCUCCUUACCCUGGCACUCCUCGGCAUCCCAUCAAACAACUCAGCCGCUGAGUAUCUGAACAAAACUGAAACCUUGUGACAUGAACAGCUUAGUCACACUUGCUCUCGCUAGGAUAAGUUCUGUUCACCUUGUUACUUCAACUCAGCCAAAAGGAAAAGAAGGGAUAGGUGUUAGAGAGCGGAUGAUGCUGUGGUGGUUGAUGCUGCCAUGUAUUGCGAGUGUUCUUCAUUUUGACAUUAGCUGAGUGUUGACUCAUAGUUGUACUCGGACUGGGAUGGGCCAGAGCUGUGCUUCAAGACUUUUUGUGAGGAAAAACAGAACAGUGCGUCACAUUUCUGCCUAUUGUAUAGGAGCAGUUGCUCACAAGUCAUCAACUCCCCUUCUGAGUACUGCAGUACUUUUGACUGGGGUUUUGCCUGAUACAUAUGUUUAGCCAGUACAGGAAGUGGACCUCCACGCAAACCUCCUCCAACUCCUCCAGAAGACUAGCAGAGGAGGCACAUCAUGUAAGGGGGAGAGGCCGGAGAAAGGCAAAGAAAGAGGGGGAAAGUAAAACAAAGGAAGAAGGAGGGUAAUGGAAAUAGGGACAUAGGGUAAAGCAAAAAUUAGGGGUAAGUAGGGAGAGCAGGAGUGGGCUAGGUGAGGGUAAGAGGGGAGACAAACAUAAAAUAAAGGGUAAUAAAAAGAAUAAUGGUAACCUGUUUGGAGGACAGGAGUGAGGGAGGGUGAAGAGACAGAAUGGAGAAGAAAGGGAGAGAUUAGAAUGGAAAGCAAGAAGGGGGAGAGAUCAGACAGUCACCUGGGGAAGAUGAGAGGAACGAAUAAGAGACAGAUAAUAUGAGGAGACAGAAAAUAAAAGAUAAAGACAGAAGGCAAGACUGAUAGAAGGAUGAAGGAGAUGGAGAAAACUACCUUGCCAGCUGCAGUGCCUCUGCUUUGUUACUGACAGGAAACCCUGCUUCAAUAAGAGUCAAUUCAGGCAUCAGGAAUUAUGGGAGCGAUAGACAAAGGUCUGAUCAUCUAACCUUAUUUUGAAAAUCUAAAGGCAGAUGGUGAAGAGGAAAGGGAAAUCCACAAGAGAGUUAACUGGCUCUCAGAAGCUACUCGGUCUUGUGCUCAAUAUUACUGAUCAGCCAGUGAGAAUGGUUCUGAAGAUGUUAUGCUUCUCUGUGUAGUGUUUUAUUGGUUGUGUGCGUUGUCUCUCUGUAUCCUGCCGUGAACUCAUGUGUGGGUGUGGAAUUUUGAACGGGAACAGAUCACUCCAUCUCUGCUGCUCAUGCAGCUGGGUUGAUCGUCCUAAUAAACAAGUAGGAUUGUUUAUAUAUAUGUAUAAUUUGCUUCCAGAUUCUUACUGUUCCUCCAAACACAAUAAAAAUAGUGUCAGACUUC